UCACAUGCAUGCAUAUAUACAUACACAAACAUAUAUUUGGCAAUGAUGAUGAUUAUGAUUCUGAUCCUUUGGAAGGCUUUUGAUGAACACCACUAGCUAUGGAACUGUCUAUGAUUAGUUCUAAGCUAUAAGAUUUGAGGGCACUCCUAUGUUUUACACUUUUACCUUCAGUUUGCCUGCUAUUUGAGCUAGUUGGUUAGAUUUGAUUGUUUAUAUAGGAGUUUUCGGUCAUGUUUCUAAGGGAAAAUUAGUGACUUAAUUUAUGAAUGAUGAUGCGCUGCACUGAGCUCUGAGUUACUUUUAUUAAUUGACUGCAUAAUUAAUAGUGAGGGUUUGGAUUGGCUUUAUUUAGAGGAAGAAAGUACCCUUUUAUUUAAAAAAAAAUUGCAAAAUUUUAAGAGCAUUUGGAUAUAAUUUUAUUUGCCACAUGCUUUGAUCUGCAACUUCAAAUUUUAAAGAAAUGAAAUAUGAGAAAUUGUUCCAAAUUAGUACCCCCCUUCUUUUAUUUAUUUGUUUAUUUUUUUUUUAAUUCUGCCCAAUGAUGGACAUACAAUCUCCUGGCUAAUAGGUUUUGUUCAUACUUGUAGCUGCACCAAUCUCUCUCUCUUUCUCACUCGAUAACUCUGUGAACUGCGAUCUCUCAUAAUUAUUUAUUUAUUUAUUUAUUUUAUUUCUUCCGGAUGGUGCAAGAAGUCUGUGAAUAAAGCUAGUGGCAUAAGCUUUAGCUGAUUUCUAGCUAGCUAUAUGAGAUCUGAGGGCUCUAUUUUUCUGUUAGUUUUUCUGGUUAAGUGAUUACAUAAGUUUGCUUCCUUUUUGGUGGCUAUCUUUGAUUUUUAUUGAUGUCAUCUUCUUUAGUUACUGUUUUUUUCAUUUUCUUGGUAUUAUAAGUGCUACUGCUACUUCACGCAGUGCUAUGUGAACUUACAUUUCUGUAUGCUGUGAUGUUGUAGGGUUUAGGCCUUUAGGGUGAUGUUCUAGCUUCAAUUCAGUUCUGCCCUAUCCUGCUCUACUAAUAUAACAACUACAAUACUUCAGAAGUUUUCCUUUGUAUUUAGUUUACUACUUGCAUAGGAUAAUGUCUACAUUGAUGAAGUUUUUUAUUUUCCUUCUGAAUCAUAGAUUUUGAUUGUUUUAGUUUGCAUUUUAUACACAUGCAUAGUUAACUGCAAAAUUUUUCUUUUCCCCUUUUUCACACAUUAUAAUAAUUCUGCCAAAUGAUAGAACAUGUUUACUAAUGAACGACUCUAUGGAUAUUGUUCAUGACUGGACAUACAUCACCUCCAUUACCAUCACGGCAUCACUAUCGUCACCACUACCAUUAUCAUAAUCAUAAUCAUAUCCAUCAAUCAAUUAAUCUCUUUGUGUAUGCCUCGGUGGGUAAAUGGCUAAAUGGGACAUUGAAGGAUGAGAUUGAAGCCUGUUACAAAAGCCAUGGAUGAGUUUUAUUUAGCUAUGAGAUCUGAGGUCUAGUUUUUUUUUUAAAAAAUAUGCUUACUGAGGGUUUAAAUCAAAGGCACUUUCCUGGUCUUAAAUUUUCAUUACAGAAGUUGAAGAGAAACUUGUGCAAUAUUGUGGUGCUGAUUCAGAGUAGAUUGGUUCUUGAACUCCCUCCUUUGGUAAACUCUGGAUCAAAUCAUAUGCUAUUAGUUCUUAAUGUCAGUAUCAUGCUCCCAUUUAUGCUGACUUUAUUUUUCCCAUUUCUUUUUUGUUGGCUUAACAAAUUAACUGUUGCUUUUCUGAUGAAUGUGCUUUGUCAUGGCAUCUGUAUAGUUCAUGUUGUAUUUCGAUAUGCCCUGGGAUGAAAAUUAUUGAAGCUGGAACUUUGAAUACGAUGCCAGCCUUUUCCAUUCCUUCUGCCUUUCCUCCCACUGCCAUAAUUAACCGUUCCUUUCCCUUGUGCUGCCAUUACUGAUGAUGUUCCUCUAGACCUUGUACUUGUUCUUCUUCUUCAUCAUCAACUUCUUCUCUUAUGCAUUCCCUUUAUCACUAUACCUCUAAUCAUUGUUGUUAUUAUUAUUAUUUUCUUGCUGUCACGGUAAUUGGCAGCGGGUAGAAAUGGUGGAGAGGGGAGACAGGGAUGUGCACACUGCCUUUGGAACCCAUGGUAUCUGAGGGCACUUUGUAUACUCUGUUCACUUAUUCUAUCAUCAUCAUGUAACUGAAUGAUCCACUGCUUUGCAUUCUUAGUGAAUAUGUACUACUAUUGUAGAUAUUGAUCCGUGAAUUUCUUCUCUUGUAUAUUAAUACUAUGAUAAUCUUUAGCAUCAUGUCUCACAUUCGACAAAAGUUAGUUUCUUCCAUGUCUAUCUCAUUAUAGUUUUUGUUAUCUUAAUUAGGUUGGAAAGGAAACUCGACAUUUUGGAGUAUUGUGUUGCGUGGGGUUCCAAAUUUAGGUCUCUCAUUGACCUCUUUCUGGCAAUGAUUCCCUUUAUUUAAGCUCAGAAAUUUCAGAAGUUAGUGUAAUGUACAAUGUUGUAUAUAAUCUCUGUAAAUAAUCAUACCUUUGUAAUUUGAAGGGAAACUAAUUCCUUUG